UUAUCGUACAACGGAGGUGCGAGGGCUGUCGCUGACCUUCAAGGGUCGUGCACGCCCGAGCACUCUCACACAAUCCAUCUCUCACCCCUUGUGCAUCACCGCGUGGGUCUUCCUCCCCCUUGUGGGGAGGGCUCGCGCUUUCACAUAAAACUCGAUACAGUGUAGAAUGUUUUUUCUUUGCGGUCACACGCAAUCAAUACAACUUUCAACAACGGAUCUCUUGGCUCUCGCAUCGAUGAAGAACGCAGCGAAAUGCGAUACGUAAUGUGAAUUGCAGAAUUCAGUGAAUCAUCGAAUCUUUGAACGCACCUUGCGCCCCUCGGCAUUCCGAGGGGCACACCCGUUUGAGUGUCGUGAAAUUCUCAAAAACCCUUUUCUUUCUGGAAAAGGACUUUUGGACUUGGAGGUUCAAUGCUCGCUUUCGCCUUUGAAAGUGAGCUCCUCUCAAAUGGAUUAGUGGGGUCCGCUUUGCCGAUCCUCGACGUGAUAAGAUGUUUCUACGUUUUGGAUUUGGCACUGUCUCUUGGACGUUCGCUUCUAACCGUCUCAUGGACAAACGAUGGUGCUCCGGUCACUGCCAUCUACGUUGGCGGGAAGGCUGGACCCACAAAAAAAAACCUUGACCUCAAAUCGGGUGAGACUACCCGCUGAACUUAAGCAUAUCAAUAAGCGGAGGAAAAGAAACUAACAAGGAUUCCCCUA
rnacentral:rRNA from 1 species